AAAUUGAAGAGUUUGAUCAUGGCUCAGAUUGAACGCUGGCGGCAGGCCUAACACAUGCAAGUCGAACGGUAACAGAAAGCAGCUUGCUGCUUUGCUGACGAGUGGCGGACGGGUGAGUAAUAUCUGGGAAACUGCCUGAUGGAGGGGGAUAACUACUGGAAACGGUAGCUAAUACCGCAUAACGUCGCAAGACCAAAGAGGGGGACCUUCGGGCCUCUUGCCAUCGGAUGU
rnacentral:rRNA from 1 species